rnacentral:misc_RNA from 1 species
GAGCCGACCGUGUUUUCCCGGGGUGCAAUGCACGAACUUGAAUACCUCCUAUAGCUGCGGUCGCUGCCCCUCUGGAUAUGCUGGAAACGGCGCUAUCUGUGAGUAAGGUUUCUGUAAACAGCAACCUUUAAGGGGGAUUAGCCCUAAUUCUCAAAGAUUGAGCACUGUUUGAUAUACAGAGCCUGUGAUUUAAAGGUAAGCCCUCGUGCAGUUCAUCACCCUGCUUUGAGAACGUUACAUGUAUUGACGAUUUUUAUGGAGAGAGGGGAUUUAGAUGUGGACCGUGUCCCCGAUUUUACCGUGGGGAUGGUGUCAGGUGCAACAGGACAGAUGUGGAUCUUUGUAAAUACGGUGUUUGUCCCAGAGACGGCCAGUGCAAAAACACGGAAAAACCUCCGGGUUAUCUUUGUUUACCAUGUCCAUCGGGUUUCCAUGGAGAUGGACAAAAAUGUACAGAUAGAUGUAGAGUAAAUUGUCUUAAUGGCGGCACAUGUGUUGGUGGCAAUAGAUGUAUUUGCAAGCAGGGUUAUGAGGGAAACACGUGUGAGAGAGAAGUAUGCUCAAUAAAAUGUCUUAAUGGAGGGCGGUGCUACAAGGGAAAUCAGUGUGUCUGUCCCGCUGAAUACACGGGGUAUUACUGCCAGACACCUGUAUGUAGCCCUCCAUGUCAGAACCAGGGCGUAUGUGUGCGCCCGGGCACCUGCUAUUGCCCGUAUGGGUAUUUCGGUUCUUCUUGUGAGAGAGCAACAUGCUGGACCUAUUGUCAAAAUGGAGGACGUUGUGUGUUCAAUUCCUGCCAAUGUAGAAGCGGAUGGUCCGGUCAACAUUGCCAGAUACCUAAAUGUGACAUGGGCUGCAUGAAUGGAGGUACUUGUGUAGGGUCAAACCAGUGCAGAUGUACCCCUGGUUACUGGGGCUCCUAUUGUCAACACGCGUUAUGUUGGCCCCGAUGUCGAUAUGGCGGACAAUGCAUUAGGCCAAACGAAUGCAGAUGUAGACCAAAAUACUCUGGUCGGUAUUGUCAGAUUGUUGAUAAUUGAGUUGCGAUGCUGCAAGGGGAACCAUCAACGUUUUUGGUUUACGGGGAUCAUACUAACAUACUCAUUAUUUCCUUGUUUGUUAAUUUUGUUUUAUGUUGUGACUAUUUGCUUGUGUUUUGAGAGAGAGAGAGAGAGAGAGAGAGAGAGAGAGAGAGAGAGAGAGAGAGAGAGAGAUUAAUGUGUUGUGACUAUUUGCUUAAUUGUGUUUGGAAAGAGAGAAUGAGAGAGAGAGAGAGAGAAGUUAUUUUGAUUUAUUUAAAAUAAAAAUAGUGUUCG